rnacentral:rRNA from 1 species
UACGGAGGGAGCUAGCGUUGUUCGGAAUUACUGGGCGUAAAGCGCACGUAGGCGGCUAUUCAAGUCGGGGGUGAAAGCCCGGGGCUCAACCCCGGAACUGCCCUCGAAACUAGAUGGCUAGAAUCUUGGAGAGGCGAGUGGAAUUCCGAGUGUAGAGGUGAAAUUCGUAGAUAUUCGGAAGAACACCAGUGGCGAAGGCGACUCGCUGGACAAGUAUUGACGCUGAGGUGCGAAAGCGUGGGGAGCAAACAGG